rnacentral:rRNA from 1 species
AAAAGCUCGUAGUUGAACGUUCGGGUUCCGCGGGACGGGGCCGCCCCGCGAGGGACGGCGCCGCCCCGGGGCUCGUGAUAUCUCAUCUCGCCGCCCGUCGCGAGGCGGACGGAGGGAUGGAUGAGGUUACCUGGAAAAAUCGGGGCGAUCUAGGCGGGCGAACCUCGCCAACGAACGAUCGGACAUGGGAUAACGGAAGAGGGCGUCGGCUCGACUUCGUCGGUUCCUCGGGCCGAGGCACGUACGGUGAAUAGGGGACGGUCGGGGCCGCCCGUACCGGGGUCGUGAGAGGUGAAAUUCUAGGAUCGACCCGAGACGAACCGCCGCGAAAUCAUUCGGCAAGGACGCUUUCAUUAAUCAAGAACGAAAGUCGGGGGAUCGAAGACGAUCAGAUACCGUCGUAGUCCCGACCGUAAACGAUGCCGACCGAGGGCCCGGAGGAGUUACGUACGA